UUUGCAUGUGUUCAGUUCUGCGAUAUGACUCUCACACCAAAGGAUUUUUCAGAGAUCAUAGCUGCUGGCUGAAAAUAAUGAUGUUCUGAAGUCUGCUUAUAUCAGCUCUAGAGAAGUAAUUGUUCAAUUUUCAGGGAAAAAAUAAAUGAAUAUGAAGAAUUCAUAGAAAUAUGGAAGGCUUCUGCAAAUAUCAAUAUGACAAAGAAUCAGGGAAACCACAUACAUGACUACAAUAAUGAAAGUAUACUGGUAUUAAAAGAAUCCCUUUGCAAAAAAAAGUUUGGAUGGCAGAAUUAGUGGAUAACAGUGCAGGACCUGGAGUUACAAAGUCAUGAGUUCAAAUCCAGAUUCAGACACAUAGUCUGGGAAAGUUGUCUUCAUUUUCUUCAUCUGUAAAAUAGUA